CCCUCCUGCUCCGGGUAGCUGAGGCCCUGGAAGUAGUAGUGUUGAUACAUGGUCUCAUACUGGGAGAAGCAAGUUGCCUUGGAGAAGCUGCGGCUGCUGUAUUUGGGCCUGCGGAAGCCGUGGGCUGCAAUGACUGAGACAAGUGACAUUUACCUAUGAUGUUGUGCCGACAGUGGGGACAGGUGUGGUGCUGCAACAGCCAUGGAUCAACGCAUUUCCUGUGGAACCGUUAUAGGUCAACUCCAUUUCCUGAGGCAAAGCUCACAGACAGUUUCUAUGGAGAAGAAAAUUGUCUGCCAUAUCCCUCAGUGUUAAAAGAAGUGGGAACAGCACAUGUAGCUCCCUUUGAGUUGGGAGGAUACACAUUUAUUCAUGUCUUCAUAUAGAAAAACUAAAGCCUUGUACUAAUGAUAUGAAGCCUAGGAACUAUGAACAGAGAGAGCUAGGAAUAUCCCACGAUAUUAUUCAUGUCUUCAAGUGGGAUUAGGGUUUGCCUCCAAAUUGUGCUAAUGGAGACAAGUAGAAAAAAAGAUGUCUGAAACUUGCGGCAGAAGGGUAAAUUCUCCAAUCCCUUCUGUCACUGGACCAUACAGAGCAAAUGCAAUGGAUUUUUCUGUGGCAGAACUUCCUAUGGAGUUCCCAAGCCUGAGCAUCCUCCAAGUUUCCUAAUUUCACUUUAUCUUUUCAUUUUCUGACCAGUCCCACACAUAGUAACAUUCAAAUUAAUAUCUAAUAAUGUGCCCGAUAUGAUGCCAAGAGGUCUACCUCCAAUUUCUCCAUAAGCUUCAUGAUCACCCGGGAGGGUAGUCAGUGUCAAGCCCAUGUCACAAGUACAGACACUGAGAAUGAAGACAUUUUUCUAUGUUCACAAGGUUAAGACUCCACCUGGGCCAGGGUUAGAGCUGAGGAAGUCUAUCCCAUGGCUCAUGCAAGAAGUUAUUAUUCCAGAUGCUUCUGUAAAAACUUACAUUCAUUCAACAGUUUAAAAGCAAUGGAAUAGUUUUAUCAAAGGCACAUCAAACGCCUAAAAUUCUCAAGUGGUUUGCUCCUUGGUCCCCAAAACUGUGGAUGUACCUAUUCAGAUAGAGAUUUUCAGGUACCAACCAAAAUAUUGCCAAUAAGUGAUUAUGAUAAAUAAUCUAUGCGGUUCAUGGUCCUAUUCUUGCAAUUUUUCUGAAGGAUUGAAACUUUCCAAAUAAACAGUAUUGGGGGAAAUCAAA